AAUUUUAAUUUAUAAUACUCCAAUUUUAAGAAAACGAGAAAAAGCCACUUCCGUCUGACGACUGAAAAUCCCUUCCUCCGAUAUGGCGUCUCCAGCCGCAGCGCCACCGUCACCGUUCCAGUCUCAGCGAUCUCCGCUCUCUUCCACUCCGGCCACCGCCGCCGCCACUGCCGCCGCCUCCCCUAUUCACCGUUUUUCCACUUUCAAUUCCCCUCACUCCGUUAACACUACCACUACCACAUCUCCUCUCGAUUCCUUUGCUUCCGACCCUGUUUUCUCCGCUUUUCUUUCUCCUUCUUUCUCCUCCAGUUCCUUCUCCUCCGCCGCUCUCUCCUCCGGCUCCCCAGCUUCCACCGCCGAGAAGCUUCAGAAGGCUAUCCGUCUCCUCGAAACGCAGCUUCGCAGUGAGGUCCUCUCCCGCCACAAUGAUCUACUCUCUCAACUCUCAUCUCUCAAACACGCUGAGAAUGCCCUCUCCACUGUUCGAUCCGGUGUCUCCUCCCUCCAAUCCACCGUCCGUCAUGUCCGAUCUGAGCUUUCUGAACCUAGAAAUAUCGUUUCUACCAAGACCGUUCAGUUCUCCAAUCUUCAUCAAACUACCGAGCUUCUUCAACAUACGAUCCGUGCCCUUCGUUUGUCGAAGAAGCUUAGGGACCUUGCUUCUGCGUCUGCUGAUGAGCCGGAGAAGCUGGAUCUUGCUAAGGCCGCCCAGCUGCACUGCGAGAUCUUGAGUCUUUGCAAUGAGUUUGACCUUGCGGGCAUUGAUGUCGUUGAUGAGGAGUUGAAAUGGGUUAAAGAAAUUGGGGAUAAAUUGAGAAGUGAGGCUAUGAAGGUUUUGGAGAGAGGAAUGGAGGGUCUGAAUCAAGCUGAGGUGGGGACUGGUUUGCAGGUGUUUUACAAUCUAGGUGAAUUGAAGGCGACCAUCGAGCAAUUGAUGACCAAGUAUAAGGGAAUGGGGGUGAAGAGCGUGAGUGUGGCAUUGGAUAUGAAGUCGAUUUCGGGGUCGGCUGGAAGUGGAUUUGGUCCGGGAGGAAUAAGGGGAAGUGGGACGCCACAGAUUGGUGGAGGUGCGAAGGCAAGGGAGGCGCUCUGGCAGAGGUUGGGAACUUGUUUGGAUCAGUUGCAUUCAAUUGUUAUAGCUGUGUGGCACUUGCAGAGGGUCUUAUCGAAGAAACGCGACCCUUUUACUCAUGUUUUGCUGCUUGACGAGGCUAUCCAGGAAGGGGAUUCUAUGUUAACAGAUCGAGUUUGGGAGGCUCUUGUGAAGGCUUUUGCUAGCCAAAUGAAGUCGGUUUUUACUGCAUCAAGCUUUGUGAAAGAAAUAUUCACUAUGGGGUACCCAAAACUGUUCUCGAUGAUAGAGAAUCUUCUUGAAAGAAUUUCACGUGAUACUGAUGUCAAAGGGGUUGUGCCAGCAAUAAGUUCAAGUGGAAAAGAUCAGAUGGUUGCAGCCAUUGAAAUAUUCCAGACAGCAUUCCUCGGUUUCUGCUUGAGUCGCCUAUCUGAUCUUGUUAGCUCUGUAUUUCCAGUCUCAAGUCGUGGUAGUGUUCCCUCAAAAGAACAAAUCUCAAAAAUCAUAUCAUGUAUUCAGGAAGAGAUUGAAUCUGUUCAGAUGGAUGGACGCUUGACUCUACUUGUGCUGCGUCAAGUUGGCAAGGCCCUUCUCCUGCUGGCUGAAAGAGCUGAAUGUCAGAUAUCUACUGGUCCUGAAGCUCGCCAAGUAAGUGGUCCAGCAACUCCGGCCCAGCUUAAGAAUUUCACAUUAUAUCAGCAUCUGCAAGAAAUUCAUACUCGAGUUUCAUCUAUGAUAACUGGGCUACCCAUCAUUGCUUCUGAUGUUCUGUCUCCCUCCCUAGGUUCAAUAUAUGGGGUUGCCUGUGAUUCUGUGACGUCGUUAUUCCAAGCUAUGCUUGACAGUCUUGAGUCUUGUAUAUUACAAAUUCACGAUCAGAACUUUGGUGCGCUGGGUUUGAAUGCCGCGAUGGACAAUAAUGCAUCGCCUUACAUGGAGGAACUGCAAAAGUACAUUCUUCACUUCCGCAGUGAAUUCUUAUCAAGGCUGUUGCCUUCAUCCAAAAAUGCAACCACCUCUGGAACAGAAAACAUUUGCACUCAGCUUGUAAGAAGCAUGGCAUCAAGAGUGUUAAUUUUCUUUAUCAGGCAUGCUUCUCUGGUCAGACCUCUUUCUGAAUCAGGAAAACUGCGAAUGGCUAGGGACAUGGCUGAACUGGAAUUAGCCGUGGGUCAAAACUUGUUCCCCGUAGAACAACUUGGUGCACCUUAUCGAGCUCUUCGAGCAUUUCGUCCUCUUAUAUUUCUCGAAACAUCUCAACUGGAGGCAUCUCCACUACUGCAUGAUCUGCCAGCAAGUGUCAUACUUCACCAUCUAUAUUCUCGAGGUCCUGAGGAAUUGCAGUCACCGAUGCAAAGGAAUAAACUUACUCCUCAGCAGUACUCUCUGUGGUUGGACUCUCAAGGUGAGGAUCAAGUUUGGAAAGGUAUCAAAGCAACUCUAGAUGAUUAUGCUAUCAAGGUAAGGGCCAGAGGAGACAAGGAAUUCACCGCAGUAUACCCUCUUAUGCUUCAAGUAGGAUCAUCGUUGACAGAAAAUUCCCGAGCUACAUAACGUUCUUCAUGUCUACAAUUGUUUUUUCAAAAAGAAAGUCAGCCUGGACCAUGUUUCAAUGUUGAUUCCUGGAUGAUGAUGAUGUGGGAUAGUAGCCAGAGAUACAAAGCUUGAUCGAUCACAACAUGAAGUUUAGUUUCCUUUUUCCUUCUAAGUACAGAUUAACAGAGGAGCAUCCUUAUGAACAACCAUUGUCGAAGAGGGCUCGAUAGUGACUCCUAUCCUUACAAUGAGAGAUGCUAGCUCGUAGGCAACGACGUAACCUUGGUAGCGAGGUAUGGCUAAAUUCUUCACCCUAUUUAUUUUUCCAAAGAUCUUUACAAUCCUCAAUAAUUGACCCCAUAUAGUUAUCCCCAUUCCCCCCUUUGUUUCUGCCAUCUUCAUCCAAAGCUGAGCCUGAUAAAACAACUAAAAUCAAUAAUGGAGCAGUUAUGAAAUUGUGUUGAAGCAGAUAUUGAAGGACAUUGAUGGUGGCCUGGCCUGGGGCUGAUGCUGGCUGGGCUCCAAAGAAACAACUGAAAUGUACAAUUCACUCUUUAGUAAUUAAAAAAAAAAAAAAAAAUCUGACACAAACACCCACACCCACACGCAUUGGGAAAAGAAAGAUGACACACAUAAAAAAAUCAAAAACCAACUUCCAUUUUCCACUACUUGGAUUUUGGAAUCAAAAUUAUCUCUUAUAUGUAUUUUCCUCCAUUUCCUUCAUUCAAUGUGAAAAGACUUGUCCCCACACCACCAAAUCCUCAUUUCCACAUGCAAUUCCCAAACUUUCAUCACUGCCAUACCACUGCUACCCAACCCAUUAAAUUUUAAACAACAUUAAAAACCAAACCCAAGCUUGUGGAAAAAAAAAACUUUCCUAUCUCUCCAUUUUUAUUUUGGGUCCAUAAAGAAACCAAAGCAUUGAUUGCUAAGGGUGAAAAUUAGGCAGCCUGAACUCUGACCCCUUUUAGCUUUUUUGGUAGGGUACCCUACUACUCAAAGGACCAACCUCUCCAAAAAAAUCAGUGUACAGUAUUUAAUUUCUCACUUUGUUCUCCCCUCCUACUUCUCUUUCACUCUUUCCAACAUAGGUUUUGAUUUGAUGAAGGGCAUAAAUUAUUACUUUAGAGUUAAAGCAUCCUCACUCAUAAGCAAUGUAUUAGUCCUUAUAAUGAUGCUUCAACGAACAAUCUAUUUGUGUGUGGAAAAAGAAGAUGAUAAUGAUGAUUUUAGAAAAGAAUGAAGGGAUAUUGAUUUGUGUCUUUAUUUCUUUGUUGCUUCACAUUUAGGAACCUUAUUCAUUAAAUAACAAGCUCUCUUUUUAUUUUCCCUUCUUCCUUAGUCUGUCUCUUUCUUCAAUAUCGUCGAAAGAGAUAGGUGAACUCAAGACAAAUUUAAAAGGAUUUUUUCCCCUCUAACUUUUCCUAUAUGGGGUGUGGGUGAGAUGAAUAAGAUUCCCUAAAAAAAAAACUCAAAGAUAGAGAUUUGAAAGAGAAAAGAGUGGUAUAGAGAAUCUUAAAACGUGAGGGUUAAAAGAGAGUGGACUAUGGAGAUCACAUGUGGAAUAUUAAGCCAACACCACUUGAAAAAAAAAGUUACAAAAAGGGGGGAAAAAAAAAAAAGAAAAGAAAAAGGCAACAA